rnacentral:misc_RNA from 1 species
CCGCGGCCUCGGUUUUGCCUCCGCUCAGAAAGCUAUCGGGCAGACUCUGUACCGGCAUGGCAAUGAGGCUCCCGGUUCCGCAGCCAAUCGGCCGAUGCAGGUGAUCGGAGUUGUCCAGGCCGACACGUGGCACCUCGGCCUGGGUCCGCAGGGCUCAUUGUACCAUUUCGCGCCUUACGACCCCGCGAGGCCGCCAUUCGCAGUCGCCGCCCGCCCCGCAGUGCGCAUCUCGGCUGGCGAUGUCGAGGGAGCGCUUUCGGCGAUCACCGAGGUUUGGGACGAACUGGCGCCGAAUGUACCGAUUCAGCCGACCUUCUUCGACCAGGCGUUUGAAGACAGUCUCAGCGCCUACAAUCGGGUGCAGACCACGCUCGUUACGCUGGCCGCGUGCGCCUUCUUC